rnacentral:rRNA from 1 species
AUACGUAGGUGACAAGCGUUAUCCGGAUUUACUGGGCGUAAAGGGCGUGUAGGCGGUCUUGCAAGUCAGAAGUGAAAUUCCUGAGCUCAACUCGGGCGCUGCUUCUGAAACUGCAGGACUUGAGUGCUGGAGGGGAUAGCGGAAUUCCUAGUGGAGCGGUAAAAUGCGCAGAUAUUAGGAAGAACACCGGGGGCGAAGGCGUUUAUCUGGCAAGUAAAUGACGCUGAGGCGCGAAAGCGUGGGGAGCAAACAGGAUUAGAUACCCGGGUAGUCCACGCCGUAAACGAUGAAUACUAGGUGUAGGGGGUACCGACUCCCUCUGUGCCGCAGUUAACACAAUAAGUAUUCCGCCUGGGGAGUACGGCCGCAAGGUUGAAACUCAAAUGAAUUGACGGGG